UACGAAGGGAGCUAGCGUUGUUCGGAAUCACUGGGCGUAAAGCGCACGUAGGCGGAUCGUUAAGUCGGGGGUGAAAUCCUGGAGCUCAACUCCAGAACUGCCUCCGAUACUGGCGAUCUUGGAGUCCGGGAGAGGUGAGUGGAACUCCGAGUGUAGAGGUGAAAUUCGUAGAUAUUCGGAAGAACACCAGUGGCGAAGGCGGCUCACUGGCCCGGUACUGACGCUGAGGCGCGAAAGCGUGGGGAGCAAACAGG
rnacentral:rRNA from 1 species